rnacentral:rRNA from 1 species
UACGAAGGGGGCUAGCGUUGCUCGGAAUCACUGGGCGUAAAGCGCACGUAGGCGGAUCUUUAAGUCAGGGGUGAAAUCCUGGAGCUCAACUCCAGAACUGCCUUUGAUACUGGGGAUCUCGAGUCCGGGAGAGGUGAGUGGAACUCCGAGUGUAGAGGUGAAAUUCGUAGAUAUUCGCAAGAACACCAGUGGCGAAGGCGGCUCACUGGCCCGAUACUGACGCUGAGGCACGAAAGCGUGGGAGCAAACAGG